ACGGUCCUAAGGUAGCGAAAUUCCUUGUCGGGUAAGUUCCGACCCGCACGAAAGGUGUAACGACUUGGGCACUGUCUCAACGAGGGGCCCGGUGAAAUUGAAAUACCUGUGAAGAUGCAGGUUACCCGCGACUGGACAGAAAGACCCCAUGGAGCUUCACUGCAGCUUGAGAUUGAAUCCCGGUGACAGAUGCACAGGAUAGGUGGGAGGCGCCGAAGCAUUGCCCUAGGGCGGUGCGGAGCCGAUGUUGGGAUACCACCCUUCUGUUGCUGAGAUUCUAACGCGAGGAGUAACGACCCUGCGGACCCUCUCAGGCAGGCGGUUUGACUGGGGCGGUCGCCUCCGAAAGAGUAACGGAGGCGCCCAAAGGUUCCCUCAGGCCGGACAGAAACCGGCCGAAGAGUGCAAAGGCAGAAGGGAGCUUGACUGCGAGACCAACAAGUCGAGCAGAGACGAAAGUCGGGCUUAGUGAUCCGGUGGUACUGAGUGGAAAGGCCAUCGCUCAACGGAUAAAAGCUACCCUGGGGAUAACAGGCUAAUCUCUCCCAAGAGUUCAUAUCGACGGGGAGGUUUGGCACCUCGAUGUCGGCUCAUCACAUCCUGGGGCUGGAGUAGGUCCCAAGGGUUGGGCUGUUCGCCCAUUAAAGUGGUACGCGAGCUGGGUUCAAAACGUCGUGAGACAGUUUGGUUCAUAUCCAUCGCGGGCGCAAGAAGUUUGAGAGGAGCUGCUCCUAGUACGAGAGGACCGGAGUGGACGGAUCAACGGUGUCCCAGUUGUCACGCCAGUGGCACGGCUGGAAAGCCGCAUCCGGGAAGGAUAAACGCUGAAAGCAUCUAAGCGCGAAGCCAACCUCAAGAUGAGACUUCUCAUCAGCAAUGAGUAAGACCCCUUACAGACGAUGAGGUAGAUAGGUUAUGAGUGGAAGAGCCGCAAGGCUUGGAGCGACAUAAAACUAAUAGGUCGAGGUCUUAACUUA
rnacentral:rRNA from 1 species